UACGGAGGGUGCAAGCGUUAUCCGGAUUCACUGGGUUUAAAGGGUGCGUAGGCGGUCGGGUAAGUCUGAUGUGAAAUCUCACAGCUUAACUGUGAAACUGCAUUGGAUACUAUCCGGCUCGAGGAAUGGAGGGGAGACUGGAAUACUUGGUGUAGCAGUGAAAUGCGUAGAUAUCAAGUGGAACACCAGUGGCGAAGGCGGGUCUCUGGACAGUUCAUGACACUGAGGCACGAAGGCCAGGGGAGCAAACGGG
rnacentral:rRNA from 1 species